AACGCUGGCGGCGUGCUUAACACAUGCAAGUCGAACGAGAAUCUGCGGAUCGAGGAUUCGUCCAAGUGAAGUAGAGGACAGUGGCGGACGGGUGAGUAACGCGUGAGGAACCUGCCUUUCAGAGGGGGACAACAGUUGGAAACGACUGCUAAUACCGCAUGACACAUUGGGGUCGCAUGGCCCUGAUGUCAAAGAUUUAUCGCUGAAAGAUGGCCUCGCGUCUGAUUAGCUAGUUGGUGAGGUAACGGCCCACCAAGGCGACGAUCAGUAGCCGGACUGAGAGGUUGACCGGCCACAUUGGGACUGAGAUACGGCCCAGACUCCUACGGGAGGCAGCAGUGGGGAAUAUUGGGCAAUGGGCGCAAGCCUGAUCCAGCAACGCCGCGUGAAGGAAGAAGGCUUUCGGGUUGUAAACUUCUUUUGUCAGGGACGAGUAGAAGACGGUACCUGACGAAUAAGCCACGGCUAACUACGUGCCAGCAGCCGCGGUAAUACGUAGGUGGCAAGCGUUGUCCGGAUUUACUGGGUGUAAAGGGCGUGUAGCCGGGAAGGCAAGUCAGAUGUGAAAUCCACGGGCUCAACUCGUGAACUGCAUUUGAAACUGUUUUUCUUGAGUAUCGGAGAGGUAAGCGGAAUUCCUAGUGUAGCGGUGACAUGCGUAGAUAUUAGGAGGAACACCAGUGGCGAAGG
rnacentral:rRNA from 1 species